GGACCCGCACAAGCGGUGGAGUAUGUGGCUUAAUUCGAUGCAACGCGAAGAACCUUACCUAGGCUUGACAUGCUUGUCGUACUCUCCCGAAAAGGAGAGGUCACUUCGGGUGGACAAUGCACAGGUGCUGCAUGGCCGUCGUCAGCUCGUGUCGUGAGAUGUUUGGUUAAGUCCAGCAACGAGCGCAACCCCUGUGAACUGUUGCCAGCGCGUAAAGGCGGGGACUCUGUUCAGACUGCCCAGAUCAACUGGGAGGAAGGUGGGGACGACGUCAGGUCAGUAUGGCCCUUACGCCUAGGGCUGCACACGUACUACAAUGCCCAGCACAAUGGGAAGCAAUACCGCGAGUGGAGCA
rnacentral:rRNA from 1 species